CGGACGGGUGAGUAACGCGUGAGAAUCUGCCUUCAGGACGGGGAUAACAGUUGGAAACGACUGCUAAGACCGGAUGUGCCGAGAGGUGAAAUAUUUAUAGCCUGAAGAUGAGCUCGCGUCCGAUUAGCUAGUUGGUAAGGUAAAAGCUUACCAAGGCGACGAUCGGUAGCUGGUCUGAGAGGACGAUCAGCCACACUGGGACUGAGACACGGCCCAGACUCCUACGGGAGGCAGCAGUGGGGAAUUUUCCGCAAUGGGCGAAAGCCUGACGUAGCAAGACCGCGUGGGGGAGGAAGGUUCUUGGAUUGUAAACCCCUUUUCUCAGGGAAGAACACAAUGACGGUACCUGAGGAAUCAGCAUCGGCUAACUCCGUGCCAGCAGCCGCGGUAAUACGGAGGAUGCAAGCGUUAUCCGGAAUAAUUGGGCGUAAAGCGUCCGUAGGUGGCUGUUCAAGUCUGCCGUUAAAGACCGGGGCUUAACCCUGGAAAGGCGGUGGAAACUGAACGGCUAGAGUGCAGUAGGGGUAGAGGGAAUUCCCGGUGUAGCGGUGAAAUGCGUAGAGAUCGGGAAGAACACCGGUGGCGAAAGCGCUCUGCUGGACUGCAACUGACACUGAGGGACGAAAGCUAGGGGAGCGAAUGGGAUUAGAUACCCCAGUAGUC
rnacentral:rRNA from 1 species